rnacentral:rRNA from 1 species
UACGAAGGGGGCUAGCGUUGCUCGGAAUCACUGGGCGUAAAGGGUGCGUAGGCGGGGCUUUAAGGCAGGGGGGAAAUCCUGGAGCUCAACUCCAGAACUGCCCUUGAUACUGAGGAUCUUGAGUUCGGGAGAGGUGAGUGGAACUGCGAGUGUAGAGGUGAAAUUCGUAGAUAUUCGCAAGAACACCAGUGGCGAAGGCGGCUCACUGGCCCGAUACUGACGCUGAGGCACGAAAGCGUGGGGAGCAAACAGG